rnacentral:lncRNA from 1 species
GUAUCUAUCCCAAUUGAGACAGCUAGAAACAGUUGACUGACUAAAUGGAAACUAGUCUAUUUGACAACGUCUUUCUGUGUUGGUGUCUACUGAAGUUAUAGUUUACCCUUCCUAAAAAUGAAAAGUUUGUUUCAUAUAGUGAGAGAACGAAAUCUCUAUCGGCCAGUCAGAUGUUUCUCAUCCUUCUUGCUCUGCCUUUGAGUUGUUCCAUGAUCACUUCUGAAUAAGCAGUUUGCCUUUAUAAAAACUUGCUGCCUGACUAAAGAUUAACAGGUUAUAGUUUAAAUUUGUAAUUAAUUCUACCG